rnacentral:rRNA from 1 species
UUAAUUGAAGAGUUUGAUCAUGGCUCAGAUUGAACGCUGGCGGCAGGCCUAACACAUGCAAGUCGAGCGGUAGCACAGGAGAGCUUGCUCUCUGGGUGACGAGCGGCGGACGGGUGAGUAAUGUCUGGGAAACUGCCUGAUGGAGGGGGAUAACUACUGGAAACGGUAGCUAAUACCGCAUAACGUCUUCGGACCAAAGUGGGGGACCUUCGGGCCUCACGCCAUCAGAUGUGCCCAGAUGGGAUUAGCUAGUAGGUGGGGUAAUGGCUCACCUAGGCGACGAUCCCUAGCUGGUCUGAGAGGAUGACCAGCCACACUGGAACUGAGACACGGUCCAGACUCCUACGGGAGGCAGCAGUGGGGAAUAUUGCACAAUGGGCGCAAGCCUGAUGCAGCCAUGCCGCGUGUGUGAAGAAGGCCUUCGGGUUGUAAAGCACUUUCAGCGAGGAGGAAGGGUAGUGUGUUAAUAGCACAUUGCAUUGACGUUACUCGCAGAAGAAGCACCGGCUAACUCCGUGCCAGCAGCCGCGGUAAUACGGAGGGUGCAAGCGUUAAUCGGAAUUACUGGGCGUAAAGCGCACGCAGGCGGUUUGUUAAGUCAGAUGUGAAAUCCCCGCGCUUAACGUGGGAACUGCAUUUGAAACUGGCAAGCUAGAGUCUUGUAGAGGGGGGUAGAAUUCCAGGUGUAGCGGUGAAAUGCGUAGAGAUCUGGAGGAAUACCGGUGGCGAAGGCGGCCCCCUGGACAAAGACUGACGCUCAGGUGCGAAAGCGUGGGGAGCAAACAGGAUUAGAUACCCUGGUAGUCCACGCUGUAAACGAUGUCGACUUGGAGGUUGUGCCCUUGAGGCGUGGCUUCCGGAGCUAACGCGUUAAGUCGACCGCCUGGGGAGUACGGCCGCAAGGUUAAAACUCAAAUGAAUUGACGGGGGCCCGCACAAGCGGUGGAGCAUGUGGUUUAAUUCGAUGCAACGCGAAGAACCUUACCUACUCUUGACAUCCAGAGAAUUCGCUAGAGAUAGCUUAGUGCCUUCGGGAACUCUGAGACAGGUGCUGCAUGGCUGUCGUCAGCUCGUGUUGUGAAAUGUUGGGUUAAGUCCCGCAACGAGCGCAACCCUUAUCCUUUGUUGCCAGCGCGUAAUGGCGGGAACUCAAAGGAGACUGCCGGUGAUAAACCGGAGGAAGGUGGGGAUGACGUCAAGUCAUCAUGGCCCUUACGAGUAGGGCUACACACGUGCUACAAUGGCGUAUACAAAGAGAAGCGAACUCGCGAGAGCCAGCGGACCUCAUAAAGUACGUCGUAGUCCGGAUCGGAGUCUGCAACUCGACUCCGUGAAGUCGGAAUCGCUAGUAAUCGUAGAUCAGAAUGCUACGGUGAAUACGUUCCCGGGCCUUGUACACACCGCCCGUCACACCAUGGGAGUGGGUUGCAAAAGAAGUAGGUAGCUUAACCUUCGGGAGGGCGCUUACCACUUUGUGAUUCAUGACUGGGGUGAAGUCGUAACAAGGUAACCGUAGGGGAACCUGCGGUUGGAUCACCUCCUUACCU